AGCCAUUUUAUUAAUAAUUAAUAAAAAAUAACAAAAAGUUGUCUAUCCCAAUGACAAAAAGCAAGCAAAGCUUGAAAAAUAUUGCAGGUCAAUCCCAAUUUCCUAUUUGACCUAGCUAAAAUUUUUUUAAGGACUUUAAAUUAUUACCGUUUCCAUCUUUGGGCGCCUCUCCUCCUUUGUCAUGCUUUGAAUCUACUGCCUUCUCAAUUCCAAGCUGAUUCAAAUCCUAUUGUAGAUGAUCAAUAUUGUUCCAUCCUUGUGUUAUGUCUUUCUUUCAUAAAAACUGUUGUCAAAAAACUACGGUAAUAUUUGUAGAGAUUUAUCUUUAACCCUAUCCAUUUUUCAAACUCUAUCAAGUUUCAGGUGGUUGGGUUGACUCUGUGGUGAAGGAAAAGGAGGAAACUUCCAAGACAUGCAUUGAAAAUGAUUGAUCCAUUGCAGAUAUAGGCUUAUGGAUGACCUCCUAAGCUUAUGGACAGAUAUAACACAUUUCUUCUUUGCUUUUGGUGAUAGUUUCUGUGAGAUAACAUAGAUUAGCCUAUUAGAUUAAGUAGCACUGUUGUUCCUUGUAUAAGAAUUUUGUUCACUGCAAAUUCUUUUUCUUCUUAGAAUUAUUAUUUUGC